rnacentral:rRNA from 1 species
GUGAGGAAUAUUGCGCAAUGGAGGCAACUCUGACGCAGCCAUGCCGCGUGCAGGAAGAAGGCGCUACGCGUUGUAAACUGCUUUUAACCGGGAAGAAACCCCAGGACGUGUCCUGGGUUGACGGUACCGGAGGAAUAAGCACCGGCUAACUUCGUGCCAGCAGCCGCGGUAAUACGAAGGGUGCAAGCGUUAUCCGGAUUCAUUGGGUUUAAAGGGUGCGUAGGCGGAGCGUUAAGUCAGUGGUGAAAUCCUGCAGCUUAACUGUAGACUUGCCAUUGAUACUGGCGCUCUUGAGUGCGCUUGAAGUGGGCGGAAUGUGCCGUGUAGCGGUGAAAUGCUUAUAUAUGGCACAGAACACCAAUUGCGAAGGCAGCUCACUAAGGCGAUACUGACGCUGAGGCACGAAAGCGUGGGGAUCGAACAGGAUUAGAAACCCGGGUAGUCC